rnacentral:rRNA from 17 species
UUGUCAGGUAAGUUCUGACCCGCAUGAAAGGCGUAAUGAUUUGGGCACUGUCUCAACAGCCCGCCCGGCGAAAUUGUAGUACCGGUGAAGAUGCCGGUUACCCGCGACAAGACGGAAAGACCCCAUGGAGCUUCACUGCAGGUUGACAUUGGGCUUGGAUGCAUGAUGUACAGGAUAGGUGGGAGGCUGUGAACCUGGAACGCCAGUUUCAGGGGAGCCAUUGUUGGGAUACCACCCUUGUGCUGCUGGGCUUCUAACCAGCGGCCUUUAUCAGGCCGGGGGACAAUGCCAGACGGGGAGUUUGACUGGGGCGGU